GGGUGGAUCACAAGGUCAAGAGAUCGAGACCAUCCUGAUCAACAUGGUGAAACCCCGUCUCUACUAAAAAUACAAAAAUUAGCUGGGCAUGGUGGCGCGUGCCUGUAGUCUCAGCUACUCAGGAGGCUGAGGCAGGAGAAUUGGUUGAACCCAGGAGACGGAGGUUGCGGUGAGCCGAGAUCGCGCCAUUGCACUUCAGCAACUGGGUAAAAAGAGCGAAACUCUGUCUCAAAAAAAAAAGGAAAAAAAAACAGAGAGACGGAGAGAGAGGAGAGAGGAAGCAAGAAAAAACUCAUCAGUGGUAUGGAGGUUUCAGACCCUCCUCAAAGGUUCCAGUUCACUUUGGGUUCUAGGGAAACCUGAUUCAGUUUGAGUUCCUGAAGGAUGACCACGACCUGUUUCGGUGCUUUCGAAAGUGGCCACUUCUGUGCCUCAUUUCACUUAAUCCUCACAGCUAUGUACAAAGUAUUGUUAUUACAUCUACAUUUUACAGAUUAGUGCAACCAAAACGGAUCAUCCAGUGGUAAUCAAAGGCUGAAAUAGGCCUCCCCUCCUCUGUCCCAUCCUCAUUCCAUUCAGUUUUUAAGGAAGUCAAGGGUUUCCUAGACCAGUGCUUCUCAAAAUAAGGUACCCAGGCCAGCAGCAUCAUUAUCUGAUAGGAACUUGUUAGAAAUGCAGAUUCUCAGACCCUAUUCCAGACCUGCUGAAUCACAAACUCUGGGGACUGAGACCAGCCAUCUGUGGUCUUUUUUGUUUGGUUUCGGUUUUGUUUUUUGAAACAGGGUCUUUCUGUGUUGCCCAAACUGGAGUGCAGUGGCACCAUCAUUGCUCACUGCAGCCUUGAACUCCAAGCCUCAAGUGAUCCUACUACCUUGGCUUCCCUAGUAGCCAGGAUGGCAGGCAUGUGCCACCACACCUGGCUGAUUUUUUUUUAUUUUUUGUAGAGAUAGGGUCUCACUAUGUUGUCCAGGCUGGUCUCCAACUCCUGUCUUCAAGCAAUCCUCUUGCCUUAGCCUCCCGAAGUGCUGGGAUUACAUAUGUGAGUUACAUGCCUGGCCCAUCUGUGUUUUAAUGAGCCCUUCAAGCAAUUCUGAUACAUGUUAAAACUUGAGAACCACAGUCCUAGGCUAAUGGCUUCACCUGGCAAACAUUUAAAAAACACUGAUGCCUGAGUCUCACCCCAACCCAAGAUUCUGAUUUAAUUGGUUUGGAUGUAUCCUGGUCAUUAGUUGUUCGUUUGUUUGUUUGUUUUGAGACAGAGUCUUGCUCUGCCGCCAGGCUGAAGUGCAGUAGUGCAAUCUUAGAUUACUGCAACCUCCACCUCCUGGGUUCAAGCCAUUCUCCUGCCUCAGCCUCCUGAAUAGCUGGGACUACAGGCGCGCGCCACCACAACCAGCUAAUUUUUGUAUUCUUAGUAGAGACGGGGUUUCACCAUGUUGGUCAGGAUCGUCUUGAUCUCUUGGCCUCAUGAUCCACCCACCUCGGCCUCCCAAAGUGCUGGGAUUACAGGCAUGAGCCAUGGCGCCUAGCCAAGAUCACAGGUUUUGUAAAGCUCCCCAGAUAAAUGGAGACCACUGCAACCUAUACCUUCUGAAGCAGCCACUUUCAUCGAGAAUGGCUAAUGGCAUACUUACGGCAUAAAGUCAAGCAGCAGGGACUACAUGUAUAAGUGAGGACAUCACAGCUUUCCAGUUUUAAGUCUUUUCCCCUUCCCAAACCCUACAUCUAGACCAAGAGGCAUGGGUGAAAAAUGUUCCUUGGGUAAGCAGGCAUGAGCUCACUAGUUUGUAAUGUUUCUUACCUUAAGCCAAUAAAUUCAGUCUUUAGUGAGUAUUGAGAAGAUGCAGGACAGAAAUUCUCAAGUUGCCUACAAAAUAAUUUAGUAGAGGAAAUGAGAUCUACAAAUGGCAUGGUAAAUGCUUAAUAUUAUCAGCUCACUCUUUAUUCCUGGGUUUAUAUAUUUUGUAGUGAAGGUCAUAUCAUAUCACAUAGCACAUCUCUACUAUAACAGAGUUUCUGUUAGCAUUUGUCUAAUAGAUUAAUCUGCUGAUUAAUCAAUAAACAAAUGGAUAUCACUGAUGAACAGGCUAAUUCUGUCUUUGGUGUCCAGUGCCCAACUUACUAUCAAUGCUGCUCUUGGCAUGAAAGUCUAUUGACAAUAAAUGUGCUAGGAUAAGGUGCUAGAGUUGAAUGUCACCAGAAAGAGACUAUAAACCCAGAUGAAGCCUGGGUGCAGUGGCUCAUACAUGUAAUCCCAGCACUUUGAGAGGUGGAGGUGGGGGAAAUCACUUGAGGUCAGGAGUUCAAGACCAGCCUGACCAACAUGGUGAAAUCUCAUCUCUACUAAAAUACAAAAAUUAACCUGGCAUGGUGGUACACACCUGUAAUCCCAGCUACUCAGGAGGCUGAGGCUGGAGAAUCACUUGAAUCCAAUAGGCGGAGGUUGCAGUGAGCCAAGAUCACGCCACUGUACUCCAGUCUGGGCGACAGAGCAAGACUCCAUCUCAAAACAAAAACAAAAACAAAACCAGAUGGAGGCAGAAAAGGGAAAGCAGGUAUAGAGGUCAUUAAAGCUGGUGACCAAUUAUUUCCAAGUCUCCUCCCUGGGACAUAGAAGGGUCUCCUUAUGUUGCCCAGGCUGGUCUAGAACUCCUGGGCUCAAGCAAUCCUCCUACCUCAGCCUCCCAAAGUGUUGGAAUUAUAGGCAUGAGUCACCGCACUAGGCCAGAUCUCCCAUUGUAUUCAUGACCCCUCAUUUGCUCUGUAUAACCAAUGGCCAGGUUAUAGGCCCAGUUUGCAGGCCCACUGGGCAGGAUUCUCUGCCGUGGAUCACAGCCAGCUACUGGUCCAAAGGAGGGUAAUCGUUUUUGAAUGGAGGAAUAAGGUACCCAGCCCUCCCUAGCGAUCCUUCCUACUGGUUUAAAGGAAUUAGAAUAAAGCCUUAUCCAGAGAGGGGUGGUGACCAGGCAGGCAGCACAAGCAAUUUGAAGGCCAAGAGCUCAAAGAUAACUAGCCUGUUUUGCCAGCCUUGGACAGAGAGUGCAGUUUUUGAGGAAAGCACCACUGAUCCUGCUAUCUGCACUUGGGCAGCCUCCAGGGCUGCAGUGAGGCUUCAGUCACUGAGUAUGUUCCGAUGACUUUAGCAGAAAUCAGGCAGAAAACAUGUGCAUAUUGAAACUGUUUAGGGAAUAGACAUAGGCAUAAUCAAAUAUACAAAACCUACUACUUUGAGAUGUUUUGUAACAGCUGUGUUCCCUACAGAACAGGUUUCUUUUAUUGCCUGCAUCCAAGAGCAUCUCCAGGGUCCUUCCUGUUAGAAUGCUGAAUGUCCAUGGAGAGUUUGAGAUGAGGAAGAAGAGUGCUAUCUUCCAGCUAAGACUGGUGCAGCAGAUCAUGCAAUGUAAAACCUCAGCAGCUGUGAAGUAGAGCAGAGGGCCUGGGUGUCUGUCAACUCCAGGUUGGAGAUUUCCCCCAGCUUUCUAGGUAACUGUGCUUCCACUGAGCAAGUCAGAUACAGACUUGAGUAUCAUCACAACUUGUGCCUGUGACAUCUUUGCCCAAGAACAGCACACAUUAAACUUUAUAUUCUUCAUAAUAUGGAAGGAAAGGUAUUGACUGAGCCCUCCUUCAUGCCUCGAGACAUCUCAUAUAUAUUUAUAUGGAUAUAUACAUGAAUGUAUGUAUUCUGUCAUAAUAACACAUUUUAUUAUUAUCUUUUUAUUAUAACACAGUAUUAGGCUAGGCUGCAUAGGCUGCAUUGAAUCCCCAAAUAAAAGUUUAUAUUACACAUCAUAAUCUAAUGCAGGGACUCUCCUGGGCAACAUCUCUAAGUGGUGACUUGGAGAUUCAGACUCCUUUCAUCUUAAAAUGCCAUCAUCUUCAGCAUUUGGCCUCAACAGUUGUCAGAGAGGGAGAAGAGACUAUGUAUAAGACCACACCACAGGAUCUGUGGUAGGUCUCCAAGCACUUCUGUCACUUCUGCCAAGAACCCAAUCACAAGGCCCCAUCCUAACUGCAAGGGAAGCUGGAAAAGGUCUCCUUGUAUGCCAGGAAGAGAAAAUGAAAUUGACAGGUAUCUAGCCAGUCUUUGCUACAAGUUUCAACAUGUUGGAAUUAUUAACUAGUAUUUUUCUUCUGAUUAUGUGUAGCAUUUGGUAUUAUGUAGACUGCCUUGUUCCCUCCCACUGUAUUUUGUGACAUCCACAUGCAGCAUCCCAUUCCUCAGAACAGGACUAGAAGUGGUAAGGACAGGUUUUAUCAUCCACUUCAUGGAUGGAAACUCUGACCCAGAGCAAUUACAUGGCUUGUCCAAAGUUAUGCACUACUGUUAACUUAAAAACACACACAAUUUAUAAAUUUAGACAAAGAAAGGGUCUAGGUUCUUUCUUAUAAAGGGUUAUAGCCUUUAACGUGGCUAUCCCACAGACUGGGAAGCACAACCUCCAGCAGAAGCCCAGAGACAAGUGCUUUGAAGGGAGAGGGGUUGGGAUAGGAGCUUUAAGCUGAACAGGCUGACUAAACAUACACAUUCAGCAGGUUACAGGAGGAAGUAUGAAUAUUCAUGAAGGUGGUCCUGACACAUGUAUAUUGAACAAACAUACAUGUAACACAUGACCCAUGUUUACUUUGGGAGGGAGACUUAGCAUUUCAAUGUAUUACAGUUAGGCUCUAUACAUCUAAAGGUCUUUUCAGGACACAAAAGCUCACAAGUACACAACCUCUAUAAAUUAGUCAGAACCAGUUCAUGGUCAGUGGUCUUAUCAGGAAAAAGUUACUGAAAUCAGUCUCUCAUCCAAUGAAAGCUGUAGUUAUGGCUGGUGGAACAGGGUUCAGUUGGGCAGAGUCUAUGAGCUGGAUGAGGUGUAAUUGUUUAAAUAUUGAUUAUCUCGAAGCCAGUGCUUGUUUAGCUGCUGGAGAAAAAGAAAACCCUUAUGGCAGUUAGAGCAUAAUUUAUUCCUUAGGUGUAGGAGUACAUGACUUCCCCUCAUCUGGAAUGGCCUUAGGUCUUGAUUGUAAUUUGGUAUCUUAUUGCCACAAAGAAUAUGUUCUGUGAGUCCUGUCAUCUCUGUUGGAACAUUAAUGGUGCUCAGUUGUUGUGUCUAAACCAUAAAAGACUGGGGGAAUAUAAUUAGGCAUGUCUGACCUCCCAUUAUAGCCAGGAACUAAGUCUUGAAAUUUUUUUCUGGGGUCCCCUUGGCCACAAUGGGGUCCAUUUAGUCAGUGGGGGUCUUGGGAUUUAUUUUUAGUUUACACGACUGAGUGACAGAGCUUUUCUUCUUACAUUCUGAGGUUAGUGGUCUCUCUGCCAUGCCACAUUUUCUUCCCUGGAAGCUCAAACUGGAUGCCCAGCUCUCAAUGUACAAACUCAAAUAUGCAAGAAAUAUAUAUUUAUUCUUUUAUUAAUCUACCUAAUUUAUAUUUUAAGCCUCCACUCUAUGUCGGAAGGUGUCAGCAAUGAAUUCCAUCAUUUCGGUAUUUCUCUACCUUUAUUAUUGAUUGAUUGAUUGAUUGAUUGAUUGAUUUUGAGAAAGAAUCUCUGUCUCCCAGGCUGGAAUGCAGUGGCAUAAUCUCGGCUCAGUGCAACCUCUGCCUCCUGGGUUCAAGUGAUUUUCCUGUCUCAGCCUCCAGAGUAGCUGGGAUUACAGGUGCAUACCGCCACCACACCUGGCUGAUCUUUGUAUUUCUAGUAGAGAUGGGGUUUCACCAUAUUGAUCAGACUAGUCUCGAACUCCUGACCUUGUGAUCCACCCACCUCGACCUCCUGAAGUGCUGGGAUUACAGGCAUGAGCCACGGUGCCCGGCCUUCUCUAUCUUCAAAGAUAUGUUUACAUCUGGGGUGGGAUGAAGGUUCCAUGGAGGGGAGGGUGGUUAGGUUGUGCCAGGGUAUUGGGAAAUCCAUUUGUUCCUCAUAUCAGCUGUUUGAGGAGGCACCAACCCAGAUGUCCACAGUUGCUUCUGGCCUUCCUUUACCCAUACUGAUGCACCUGUGCCUCCUUCCUGUUUACAUGGCCCAUUUGUGCCCAGCAUCUCCCUGCUACUUGGAGCCACUCCAGGGUCUGGGAAGUUUUGUAGGCUUACAAUGUGCAGCCAUUCAUCUCCCCAGCUUGCUGCCUUCCUGAGACACAGAGUAGAGAAGUAGGGAAAGACCUACCCUAUCCAUGCCUUUGCCCUCUCACUUUCAUCCAUCUUUCUUCCUCCCCGGUAGAGGGAUGUGUUUCUAGUCUUCUAGGAAAGCCUCACUCACUUCAAACCAUUUUCUUACAAAUACUUUGGCUUUAUUGCAAAUCAUCUCUAGUCCUCUGAGAUUUUUUAAUACACAAAACACAACACACAGAAGUUGUAUUGUUGUUUUGCUAUUUAUCCUGUCACAGUAUUUCCCUACCUUGAGGUAAUGGGACAAGGGCCUGCUCUCCAGGGCAUGGAGGCAGGGAGGAAGGGGUAGGGGAAUAUUAAGAAAACAAACAAACAUUUCUUGAUCACUUGUGUAUUACAUUUAACUUUAUCAGGUCCUUGUGAGGUGAGUAUGUGUGUGUCAUUAUUCUGAAACUAACAGUGAGGAGAAGAAGCACUGAUGGAAGUUCUUAUAAUAUAUUUGGGAACUCAGUGGGAACUCCUACCUGAAUGGUCUUUAAAUGUACCAUCCCAACCCACCCAACUCAAUCCCCGUGGCUUGAUCCUGCAGUCGUGGUGAUCAAGCUUUCAGUUAAGAGUUGGAUGAUAGUGAGCUAGUUAAUCCAAUU